CGGGUGAGGAACACGUACACAACCUUCCUUCAAGCGGGGAAUAGCCCAGAGAAAUUUGGAUUAAUACCCCAUAAUAUAUUUGAUAAGGCAUCUUAUUAUAUUAAAGCCUCGGCACUUGAUGAUGGGUGUGCGGCUGAUUAGAUAGUUGGCGGGGUAACGGCCCACCAAGUCUACGAUCAGUAGCUGAUGUGAGAGCAUGAUCAGCCACACGGGCACUGAGACACGGGCCCGACUCCUACGGGAGGCAGCAGUAAGGAAUAUUGGACAAUGGACGAAAGUCUGAUCCAGCCAUGCCGCGUGAAGGAUUAAGGUCCUCUGGAUUGUAAACUUCUUUUAUAUGGGACGAAAAAAGGGCAUUCUUGUUCACUUGACGGUACCAUAUGAAUAAGCACCGGCUAACUCCGUG
rnacentral:rRNA from 1 species